UACGGGGGGAGCAAGCGUUGUUCGGAUUUACUGGGCGUAAAGAGCUCGUAGGCGGUUUGUCACGUCUGCUGUGAAAACUCGGGGCUUAACCCCGAGCUUGCAGUGGAUACGGGCAGACUAGAGGUAGGUAGGGGAGAAUGGAAUUCCCGGUGUAGCGGUGAAAUGCGCAGAUAUCGGGAGGAACACCGGUGGCGAAGGCGGUUCUCUGGGCCUUACCUGACGCUGAGGAGCGAAAGCGUGGGGAGCGAACAGG
rnacentral:rRNA from 1 species